AGCGGGUACUCACGACUGAUCCGAGGUCAGACACACAGACACAGGCACGCACACACACACACAGACCGACAGACAGGCACACACCCACCCACCCGGCAGUACUGCAGUACCACAGCGCCGCACUGCACUGCACUGCACUGCACUGCACUGAAUCAUCACAGUCCACUCCGCGUGCGCAACGCGCCCAACUUACACGCACACUGGGCCACGCCUUGUGAACUGCGGCUGGCUGGCCGGCUGCCUGACUCACUCACUACCUGCCAAUGGCUCUGCCACCACCACCACCAGCGCCGCCGCCAACAACAGCGCUCCAACUUGCGACCCGAAACGGCAAGGACGCAAGCAAGGGAAGCUAGGCGGAGCACAGCACAGCACAGCACAGCACAGCAAACGCGCUGACAGCCCUACCGCGCGCAACGCAUGACACGCACCGCGCCUUACCUUAGAGAGAAGCUGCACCACCACCAGCGGAACAGCGAUCUCCCAAGCCGCUGCCUAUUACGCACAGCGAUAGUUUACAAGCCGACGCUCGGACAGAC
rnacentral:rRNA from 1 species